rnacentral:rRNA from 1 species
UAGGGAAUCUUCCGCAAUGGACGCAAGUCUGACGGAGCAACGCCGCGUGAGUGAAGAAGGAUUUCGGUUCGUAAAACUCUGUUGUUAGAGAAGAACAGCGCAUAGAGUAACUGUUAUGCGUGUGACGGUAUCUAACCAGAAAGCCACGGCUAACUACGUGCCAGCAGCCGCGGUAAUACGUAGGUGGCAAGCGUUGUCCGGAUUUAUUGGGCGUAAAGCGAGCGCAGGCGGUCAAUUAAGUCUGAUGUGAAAGCCCCCGGCUCAACCGGGGAGGGUCAUUGGAAACUGGUUGACUUGAGUGCAGAAGAGGAGAGUGGAAUUCCAUGUGUAGCGGUGAAAUGCGUAGAUAUAUGGAGGAACACCAGUGGCGAAGGCGACUCUCUGGUCUGUAACUAACGCUGAGGUUCGAAAGCGUGGGUAGCAAACAGG